AACAUUCAAAAUCUUGGCUCUUUCCAGAGAUUCUGCCCUAACCUGGAACCUUAAUGCUUAAACAAAGAAAGAAAAGACCUAAAGUGCCUGAGCACAUGGUCUUACACUGAUCAUAAAGAGAAGAACAACUGGGGAAGAAGCUGUCUUGGCCAUGGACAAAUAUCAGAAACCUGCUUUUAGAAAGCAUGGGUGGUACUGCUAUAUACGGCCUGCAUGUACUCCACAGUACGUACAAGAAAUGGUAUGGAUACCUUCUUUUUGAGGGAAAUCUAAUUAAUUAAACAAACAAGGCAUAGGCGAUGGAGCUAGGGGGGAA
rnacentral:lncRNA from 1 species